GAUGAACGCUGGCGGCGUGCCUAAUACAUGCAAGUCGAGCGAACAGACGAGGAGCUUGCUCCUCUGACGUUAGCGGUGGACGGGUGAGUAACACGUGGAUAACCUACCUAUAAGACUGGGAUAACUUCGGGAAACCGGAGCUAAUACCGGAUAAUAUAUUGAACCGCAUGGUUCAAUAGUGAAAGACGGUUUUGCUGUCACUUAUAGAUGGAUCCGCGCCGCAUUAGCUAGUUGGUAAGGUAACGGCUUACCAAGGCGACGAUGCGUAGCCGACCUGAGAGGGUGAUCGGCCACACUGGAACUGAGACACGGUCCAGACUCCUACGGGAGGCAGCAGUAGGGAAUCGUCCGCAAUGGGCGAAAGCCUGACGGAGCAACGCCGCGUGAGUGAUGAAGGUCUUCGGAUCGUAAAACUCUGUUAUUAGGGAAGAACAAAUGUGUAAGUAACUAUGCACGUCUUGACGGUACCUAAUCAGAAAGCCACGGCUAACUACGUG
rnacentral:rRNA from 1 species